rnacentral:rRNA from 1 species
UACGUAGGCAGCAAGCGUUGUCCGGAUUUACUGGGCGUAAAGAGCGCGUAGGCGGCUCGUUAAGUGUGAAGUGAAAUCUCCAGGGCUCAACCCGGAAACUGCUUUACAUACUGGCGAGCUGGAGUGAUGAAGAGGUUUGUGGAAUUCCUGGUGUAGCGGUGAAAUGCGUUGAUAUCAGGAGGAACACCCAUGGCGAAGGCAGCAAACUGGUCAUCAACUGACGCUGAGGCGCGAAAGCGUGGGUAGCAAACAGG